GAUCCAGCCAUGCCGCGUGUGUGAAGAAGGCCUUCGGGUUGUAAAGCACUUUCAGCGAGGAAGAACGCUUCGGGAUUAAUACUCCCGAGGAAAGACAUCACUCGCAGAAGAAGCACCGGCUAACUCCGUGCCAGCAGCCGCGGUAAU
rnacentral:rRNA from 1 species